GGAUUUUCGAAUUGCUAGAUUUCGUCCGCCGCCACCGGAGUUCUUCACCGCGAUUUAGCUUCUGUCGAAAGAGUAUUUUCUGCCAUGGAAAUUAUUAAGACAGAUUCGCGCAAUAGAAUGGGAGACGAAUGGAUGAAUGAUAUCUUAGUUGUAUACAUUGAGAGGGGAAUUUCAAAAAAAUUGGAAAUGAGACCAUUCUUCGGCGAUUUCAGGACAUGGCAACUCGCCGGAAACAGUUAUCAUCUACCCCGGCUUGCUCAAUUUUCUGGAUCCGUCACUGCAUUUGAACACACCAUUCACAAGCAUUCCGCAUCAUAAGCUCUCUCCCUCUCCUGCAUUGUUUUUCUGUCGAAAGCUCUGCCCUCUCCUCCAUCUAGUUCGCCGGAGCUCUGCUCAUAGCGGUGCUGCUUCACCAGAGACGUAGCUGUUUUAUCUUGGGGACGAAAUGCCAAUCAGAGAGCACUAUCAGGGCGUAUCUCGUCUUGCGGAAAGAGGACUCUUCGACUCGGCUAACUACGUAUUUGCGGUUAAUUAUUUCGAUAUUUCCUUUGUAAUCUCGUUUCAGUUUUACAUUCUAUAUUCCUUCUUUAGGGUUGGAUUACGCCCUAUUUUUAUAGUAUCUUCAUAUCUUGUA